GAUGAAGAACGCAGCGAAAUGCGAUAAGUAAUGUGAAUUGCAGAAUUCAGUGAAUCAUCGAAUCUUUGAACGCACAUUGCGCCCCUUGGUAUUCCAUGGGGCAUGCCUGUUCGAGCGUCAUUUGUACCUUCAAGCUUUGCUUGGUGUUGGGUGUUUGUCUCGCCUCUGCGUGUAGACUCGCCUCAAAACAAUUGGCAGCCGGCGUAUUGAUUUCGGAGCGCAGUACAUCUCGCGCUUUGCACUCAUAACGACGACGUCCAAAAGUACAUUUUUACACUCUUGACCUCGGAUCAGGUAGGGAUACCCGCUGAACUUAAGCAUAUCAAUAAGCGGAGGA
rnacentral:misc_RNA from 1 species